GAGUCAGGCAGCGUGGGGACAGCCGCGGAGUGCCAAAAGUCCCCGGCCCGCUUCCUCUUGUAAAGACGCAGCUGCGGGAGGCUGUGGUGGCGGCGUCCAAGAUGUCGACGAAGAAUUUCCGAGUCAGUGACGGUGACUGGAUUUGCCCUGACAAAAAAUGUGGAAAUGUAAACUUUGCUAGAAGAACUAGCUGUAAUAGAUGUGGUCGAGAGAAAACAACUGAGGCUAAGAUGAUGAAAGCUGGAGGCACUGAAAUAGGAAAGACACUCGCAGAAAAGAGCCGAGGCUUGUUUAGUGCUAAUGACUGGCAGUGUAAAACUUGCAGUAAUGUGAAUUGGGCCAGAAGAUCAGAGUGUAACAUGUGUAAUACUCCGAAGUAUGCUAAGCUGGAAGAAAGAACAGGAUAUGGUGGUGGUUUUAAUGAAAGAGAAAAUGUUGAAUAUAUAGAAAGAGAAGAAUCUGAUGGUGAAUAUGAUGAGUUUGGACGUAAAAAGAAAAAAUACAGAGGGAAGGCAGUUGGUCCUGCAUCUAUUUUAAAGGAAGUUGAAGAUAAAGAAUCUGAGGGAGAAGAAGAGGAUGAGGAUGAAGAUCUUUCUAAAUAUAAAUUAGAUGAGGAUGAGGAUGAAGAUGAUGCUGAUCUCUCAAAAUAUAAUCUUGAUGCCAGUGAAGAAGAAGAUAGUAAUAAAAAGAAAUCUAAUAGACGAAGUCACUCAAAGUCUCGGUCUUCACAUUCACGAUCUUCAUCACGCUCAUCCUCCCCCUCCAGUUCAAGGUCUAGGUCCAGGUCCCGUUCAAGAAGUUCUUCCAGUUCGCAGUCAAGAUCUCGUUCCAGUUCCAGAGAACGUUCGAGAUCUCGUGGGUCGAAAUCAAGAUCCAGCUCCAGGUCCCACAGGGGCUCUUCUUCCCCACGAAAAAGAUCUUACUCAAGUUCAUCAUCUUCUCCUGAGAGGAACAGAAAGAGAAGUCGUUCUAGAUCUUCUUCCUCUGGUGAGCGCAAAAAAAAAAGACGAACAAGAUCACGGUCACCUGAAAGGUUGGGUUCUGUAGAAAUAAGAAUGGGUGUUCUUAAGUGUGUUUAAUAGAGUAACUGAACUUCUCAGUCAAGGAUUAGAUUUUCAUUAUCUCCUUCGUUCCCACUUCAAAUUAUUCUUUACAACUUUGAACUUCAAAAAACAGAUAAUUACUUUGUUUAUCCUUUGUGCUUUGAUCAGGUUGUUUAGAAAAGAUCAAACCACUCUCUUCACUAUUUGAUCAUUUUGUUUAAAUUUUUAUUUUCAUAUAUAAUUAUUAUAGCCAACUCUCGGUUAUUUCUGUCUCUUAAGAUUUUAAUUCAGAAGCUGUGUGUUGACGUAAUUUAGAGGUUGAUUUUUAUAAGUAUUAAUUUAUGCUAUUGAUUUUACAUUAAAUAUUAGAAACCGUAGGAUUCUAGGGCAUCUAAUAAGAAAAUUAACUAUUACAGAUCAUUGGAAAUCUGUCCUAAUUUAAAUAUGUAUAAAUGCAUUUCCACAACAAAUUAUUGUUUCGUGCCCUUUAUAAGGAAAUUGUUCUUGUAGCUAAUACAUUUUUCAUCUUUCAGUCCAAGUCCUUUUUUUUGUAGAGAAAGACCUUUACUAGAUUACUUUAUCUGUGUUGACAUUUUUAAAAGUGGGAAAGUGUGUCAUCUGUCAGCCUUUUCUGCAGCAGGCUAAUUAAUUAUUUGGAUUUAUUAUUUUUCUCUUGGUUCUGAAUGUCUACAUAGUCAUUUUAAUGGCUUCCUUAAUAAUCUUUGCAAAUUUUUAUAUCCUUUCAGCUUGUGAAAGUAAGGAUUAGAUAAAAUCUGAUUUUUGCUGUGUUCAGUGCUAGGAUUACCUCUACUUGUACAUAAUGACUGGUUUUGCAUCUUCCCAUUUUGGAGUUUAGAUGUUAAGGUUACACACAAGUAGUCUCAUUUCUGUGCAUUUGUUCCUUUGUAAGAAAAUUACUCCAUACUUCAAUGAAACUCAUUCUGUUGCUUUUUUUCCACGUCUGCAAAUUUUUAUCUUAGCCACAUAUAAUCCCCCUAGUUUGUUGUCAUCUAAACUUAAUGAACAUGUUCUCUAUUCCAUAAGCCAGGUGAUUGGUGAAAACACUAAACAACCCUGAGCCCAGGGCCAACCCCUCGGAACACCACUACUUUACCCAGGCACCACAGGUCACCUUCUGGAUCAUCCCAUUCUGGUUCCCGUUCAAGUUCAAAAAAGAAAUAAUGAAUUAAAAUUUACAUCUUAAAAAAAAAAAAAAAGUCCAGUACAGUGCAUGAAGCAUAUUUUUUAAGAAGUUGGUGUCUUACUUGGUCAGAAGUGCUAAAUCUGCUAGUAGAGGUGCAUGCCUUUCAUUGCUUUUCAGAACAAUACAGCUGUGUUUAUUUGUGAAAUUAAAAGUAAAUGGUAUUUUAAGCCAUAAUGUCCCAAAAUAGAUGCUUUGUUUAUCAUUCAUUAUUUACAACCAUUUGCUUCAUUUAAAACCAUCUCAGCUAUAACAAAGUACUUUGUUUUUUAAUUUGAACUCUUGGUUUUCUCAUCUCCAAAUAUGAGCAUUACCUAGGCUUGUCUGGACUUUGGGCAUGGAAGCAAGACUGUGGUAAAGUAGUUGGAAACAAUCUGUUUAUGUUAAUCCGGGAAAAGGAGUCAACCUGUUUAUGUUAACCUAUGUGAUUCUUAUUAACUAGUUGUAAAACAGUCAACUGGAAACUUCUUUAUUUUGAAAUUCCCUAUGUUAAGGGUGCCUUAGAAUCAUUGUUUCUCUUUUAUCCAGUUUUACUUUUUGCACCACCAAGUUUAAUUUUGUGAAUUGGAGAGGAGAAAGGUGUUAUUUAUUUCUCCUUUUCUGACACGUAAUUUUGAGCAAGAAUGCCAAACAGUUCAUCUCUUCUCUACUAAUAUGGUUGAUGAGAAAAACAUCUUAGUUUAAAAUGUUUAAUAUUUUUAGGAGCUUUGUGUGAUAUCCUUUAAAAAUCUAGUUAUCACAUUAUAGGCUAGACAGAGUUAAAUCAUAGUUAAUGAGGAACAGAUUGAAGAAAGUUUUUGAAGUAUAUUUCUCUUUGGGUGAAAGACCAACAGACAUUGUGAAUUUAAGUGAACAUUUGCUUUGCGAUGUUUAACUUUAAACACAUUGCAUAAAAUUUUCUUCUGAGUAACAAAUGAAUGCUUAUUUCCUCAUGACAUAAGCAGAAAUAAUUGUUCCUAUUCACUUGAAAUUACUUAUGGCUUAAAAUACUUUCAAGGUUUUUUUCUCAAAAUUAAAAUCUGGUCAUUUGAGCUCUGUUCUGUCUUCUGGUUUUAAAAAUGGUUUCUCUUAACAGUAUCUUCAGUGACAAUGCAAGGUAAGUAUAUUAAGGGAAGUUGACAGUUGUGCUUGGGAACUUUUGUCAUGGGGAUCAGUAUCCACAUUUUUUGUUUUGGGCGGGGGGGUUGUUUGUGUUUCCUUAAUAUUAAUGUUUACUACAACUAAAAAUUAAAAUGUUUUAAGGUACUUAGUAGACAGACCAAAAUUAUAUUUGUUUUUAUUUUAAAAUGAGUGCUUUUUCUCUUCAACUCAUCUAAAGAUGAAAGUGAAAUAGCUUAUGUAGAAAUAUUUUGAUAAUAUUUUUACAAUGAACUUCCCCUGCUUUUUUUAUGUCUUAAAAUUUUCUUUGCUACAUUUACUGUAGGUUGCACAAGAACUUUUACUCUCUUGUAAUUGUGCCUCAGACUUCUUGAAAGUCCACCUUCUAAAUUGCCCAGAUGAUCUUCUAGAUUCUACAUGUUGUCGUUGGUUUAUUCUUGUGCUUUCUGUAUUUAAAUCUUUGGCUGUACUAAUAAGUAAAUGCAAGGUUAUAAAUUUAGCUAAUAGUAGUUUACAGACAGUUCAAAUGAUUAUGAUUUUAUUUGGUUUAAGCUGUACUAGUUCAUUUCGUAAGGAAAUGAUGCUGUAGACAAAUGUAAAUAAAGCUUGUGAGUCGAGCAUCAAGUGGUGUUUGUUAGAAAUAAAUUAGAAUUUUUAAGCUCUGA